GCCAGCGUGGUGUAGUGGUUUGAACAUUGGACUAUGACUCUGGAGACCAGGGUUCAAUUCCUGCUUGGCU